rnacentral:Y_RNA from 1 species
GGCUGGUCCAAAGGUAGCAAGUUACCUCAAUCGAUUGUUCACAUUCAGUUAUAGAUCGAACUCCUUGUUCUACUCUUUCCCCAUUCUCCCUACUGUACUUUACCAGUCUUAA